GAUGAACGCUGGCGGCGUGCCUAAUACAUGCAAGUCGAGCGAACGGACGAGAAGCUUGCUUCUCUGAUGUUAGCGGCGGACGGGUGAGUAACACGUGGAUAACCUACCUAUAAGACUGGGAUAACUUCGGGAAACCGGAGCUAAUACCGGAUAAUAUUUUGAACCGCAUGGUUCAAAAGUGAAAGACGGUCUUGCUGUCACUUAUAGAUGGAUCCGCGCUGCAUUAGCUAGUGGGUAAGGUAACGGCUUACCAAGGCAACGAUGCAUAGCCGACCUGAGAGGGUGAUCGGCCCCCCUGGAACUGGGACACGGUCCGGACUCCUACGGGAGGCAGCAGUAGGGAAUCUUCCGCAAUGGGCGAAAGCCUGACGGAGCACCGCCGCGUGAGUGAUGAAGGUCUUCGGAUCGUAAACCUCUGUUAUUAGGGAGGAACAUAUGUGUAAGUAACUGUGCACAUCUUGACGGUACCUAAUCAGAAAGCCACGGCUAACUACGUG
rnacentral:rRNA from 1 species